CGUGCAGGGAGAAGGCCCUAUGGUUGUAAACUGCUUUAUCAGGGAGAAACCUCUGGAUUUACUCCGGAGCUGACGGUACCUGAGGAAUAAGCACCGGCUAACUCCGUGCCAGCAGCCGCGGUAAUACGGAGGGUGCGAGCGUUAUCCGGAAUUACUGGGUUAAAGGGUGCGUAGGCGGCUUUGUAAGUCAGGAGUGAAAGUUUGCGGCUCAACCGUAAAAUUGCUUUUGAUACUGCAGAGCUAGAAUCAGGAUGAGGUCAGCGGAAUGUGGCAUGUAGCGGUGAAAUGCAUAGAUAUGCCAUAGAACACCAAUUGCGAAGGCAGCUGGCUAGACCUGUAUUGACGCUGAGGCACGAAAGCGUGGGGAGCGAACAGGAUUAGAUACCCUGGUAGUCCACGCCCUAAACGAUGCUUACUCGACGUAUGGCCCUUGUGGUUGUGCGUCCAAGGGAAACCGUUAAGUAAGCCACCUGGGGAGUACGACCGCAAGGUUG
rnacentral:rRNA from 1 species